rnacentral:rRNA from 1 species
UGAACGCUGGCGGCAGGCCUAACACAUGCAAGUCGAGCGGAUGAAGAGAGCUUGCUCUCUGAUUCAGCGGCGGACGGGUGAGUAAUGCCUAGGAAUCUGCCUGGUAGUGGGGGACAACGUUUCGAAAGGAACGCUAAUACCGCAUACGUCCUACGGGAGAAAGCAGGGGACCUUCGGGCCUUGCGCUAUCAGAUGAGCCUAGGUCGGAUUAGCUAGUUGGUGAGGUAAUGGCUCACCAAGGCUACGAUCCGUAACUGGUCUGAGAGGAUGAUCAGUCACACUGGAACUGAGACACGGUCCAGACUCCUACGGGAGGCAGCAGUGGGGAAUAUUGGACAAUGGGCGAAAGCCUGAUCCAGCCAUGCCGCGUGUGUGAAGAAGGUCUUCGGAUUGUAAAGCACUUUAAGGUGGGAGGAAGGACAGUAAAUUAAUACUUUGCUGUUUUGACGUUACCGCCAGAAUAAGCACCGGCUAACUCUGUGCCAGCAGCCGCGGUAAUACAGAGGGUGCAAGCGUUAAUCGGAAUUACUGGGCGUAAAGCGCGCGUAGGUGGUUUGUUAAGUCGAAUGUGAAAUCCCCGGGGCUCAACCUGGGAACUGCAUCCGAAACUGGCAAGCUAGAGUAUGGUAGAGGGUAGUGG